UGUUAAAGAAGAUGUUACAGAGGUAAGUGUGCACAAAUCAAUUUCUGACUUAGAUCUAUAACUGUAAAGCUUUAUAGCUGAUUUUCUUAGCCAAUAUAGACUAAUUAGCCAAGCCUGUAUUUCGUGUAUUUUCUUGUUUACGACAUUGAUUGAAUUGAAGUUCUUGUGAGAGCAUAGCCUAUAUAUACAUAUAUAAACCAAAUAGUAAGACUUGUUCAGAAGGAUAACCCGGUGCAUUUAGAUCUAUAUAUGCUCUUACUAUAAUAGGCUAAAAUGACCUUUCGUUUAUAAGUUUUAAAAAAGUCAUAUAUUAUGUGUAGGCCUAAAGUAAAGGAGCAUACUACUUCCAAAAACCUGAUUUGAUUGUCACUAACUUUCAAAUUGAAAGGGAUCUACUAAAACUGCUCAUGAAUUUUGAGAUUUUACAGCAAAUAGAGGAACAAAUUUUAUCUGCUUCCACUUAGCCAAACAGCAUGGAAAUGUGCUAUUGUAAUGAGUAGAAGAUAUUUGUCAUUUAGAGUAUCAUGCGUCAUUGACUAAUGAAAACAAAAUGCAACAGCAAAUUAUCAGUCAGCACAUUUCAAGAUGAGGAAAAGAACAGUAUAAGCUACAUUCAUUGAUGCAUUAUUUAUACAAAAAUGUAUAGUCAACCAAGUCAUCAAUCCAUUUUUUUAUGAAGCCAGUUACAGUUACCAUGAAAGGAUGAAAUUUCAGAUAAUAUUCUGUUUGUUUUAUGAAAUGAGAAUAGGCCUACAUCAGAAAUUGAAAUGGUCAUCUUCAGUAUUUAAUGUUUCAUCUAAAAAUGAUAAUUAUAUUAAUACAUAUUUGAUGUACAAACAAAUGAAAACCAUUCAAACACUUUUUUUUUGUGAAGUAUAGAGGAUUAAACUUGUAAGUGUCUGAACAAUA